rnacentral:rRNA from 1 species
AGUGAACGCUGGCGGCAGGCCUAACACAUGCAAGUCGAACGGCAGCACAGUAAGAGCUUGCUCUUACGGGUGGCGAGUGGCGGACGGGUGAGGAAUACAUCGGAAUCUACUUUUUCGUGGGGGAUAACGUAGGGAAACUUACGCUAACACCGCAUACGACCUACGGCUGAAAGCAGGGGAUCUUCGCACCUUGCGCGAUUGAAUGAGCCGAUGUCGGAUUAGCUAGUUGGCGGGGUAAAGGCCCACCAAGGCGACGAUCCGUAGCUGGUCUGAGAGGAUGAUCAGCCACACUGGAACUGAGACACGGUCCAGACUCCUACGGGAGGCAGCAGUGGGGAAUAUUGGACAAUGGGCGCAAGCCUGAUCCAGCCAUACCGCGUGGGUGAAGAAGGCCUUCGGGUUGUAAAGCCCUUUUGUUGGGAAAGAAAAGCAGCAGGUUAAUACCCCGCUAUUCUGACGGUACCCAAAGAAUAAGCACCGGCUAACUUCGUG